rnacentral:rRNA from 1 species
GACGAACGCUGGCGGCGUGCCUAACACAUGCAAGUCGAGCGGGGUCCAUCCGGUAGCAAUACCGGGGAAGACCUAGCGGCGAACGGGUGAGUAACACGUGAGAAACCUGCCCCGAAGUCUGGGAUAACCCGAGGAAACUCGAGCUAAUACCGGAUGUCUUCUUCUGAUCGCAUGGUCGGAUGAAGAAAAGAUUUAUCGCUUCGGGAGGGUCUCGCGGCCUAUCAGCUAGUUGGCGGGGUAACGGCCCACCAAGGCGUCGACGGGUAGCUGGUCUGAGAGGACGAUCAGCCACACUGGGACUGAGACACGGCCCAGACUCCUACGGGAGGCAGCAGUGGGGAAUAUUGCGCAAUGGGCGAAAGCCUGACGCAGCAACGCCGCGUGCGGGAUGAAGGCCUCGG